GAACGCACCUUGCGCCCUUUGGCUAUUCCGAAGGGCAUGCCUGUUUGAGUAUCAUGAACACCUCAACUCUCAUGGUUUGCCAUGAUGAGCUUGGACUUUGGGGGUCUUGCUGGCUUAUGGUCAGCUCCUCUUAAACGAAUCAGCUUGCCAGUGUUUGGUGGCAUCGCAGGUGUGAUAACUAUCUACGCUUGUGGUUUUCCAUCAGGUAACCUUCAGUGAUGGAGGUUCGCUGGGGCUCAUAAAGGUCUCUCCUCAGCGAGGACAGCUUUUUGAACGUUUGAUCUCAAAUCAGGUAGGACUACCCGCUGAACUUAAG
rnacentral:misc_RNA from 1 species